UCCAUGACUGUGUGUUGCUAAGUGUAUCCAGUGAAUUAUGUGAACAUUAACCAUUUGGUUCUGGAAGCAGCAACUGCCCUGUGGAAAUAUCUGACCCACAUCUGCAGCAAGCAAGAUGCACCUCUGGAAUUUGCACCUCAAGACCAGGAGCAGCAUUAUGUAUUUGUAACCUUACCAGGCAGCAGGAGCAGCUUUCCCUUCAUUUGCAUUCCUUUGCAAAGAAGGACAGCCCACAGGGCAAUGAUAAAGCAUGGAGACAACAGAAGGCAAAGAGCCUGCCAAUGGUUCCUGGGGCUCUUCUGAAUGAUUUCCAGGACACGGGAAUCAAUUUCUCAACCUCGAAGUUACUAACCCAUAAUCCCACCUGACUGAAGGCCCAGAGCAGCAUACACAGAACAAUUCUUCCUUCUCUAUAAUUUUUUUCCAUAUGUGUAAACUCCAGAAUUCAUGGUGAAUAUGGGGUUGGCCUAAUAAUUUACCAAAGGCCUAACUGCAUUCUCAGGGUGGCUGCUCUACUGGUGCCAUGAACAUGGAUGAGGAGAAUGCAAGGGGAAGCAGGAAACAGUAGAAGUCUCCUUUUCACAGGAUGUGGAACAGAAAAAAAGUUUAUCAUCACUACAUAGCUUCGAGCUUCCAGAUAUGGUCUUGUGCUUGUAACCCCAUUCAGAGGGCAGCCAAUGAAUGGUGGAUCUAUAUCACUGUGACACAGCCUCACCGUUGUCAUUCCCCGGCCCUGUUAUCAACCUGUGCUACACAGAAACAGCUGAAGGCUAUCUAACCAGCAGGAAGCUGAAAAAUCACCCUGCCAGUGCCACCUUACACUGAAUGUAUGGCCAAUAGAAAGGGAGCUGUCCUGAGCCCUUGUUCUGAGCAAUGAAACGAAUAAAUCAAUUCACUUUGUGAAAGUGGAAACUUCAGGGUUGAUGCAUGGCACUCAGGUGGUAUUAAACUCUGGUUUGGAAAAUGGGAUGUUCUUCAGCAAAGACAAAUUUGAUCUUUUCAGGUGAUGGCGCAGCUGUGACCUAUGGUGGUUUCUGAGAAAAGGAACAGGUAAUUUUAAAUGGAAGCACCUGCCACUUGCAAGUUCUGUAGCACCUCCAGAAGCAGCAGUGACUGCUUUCAAAUGAAUAAAUUACCAGGAUGUUAGGCUAAAAUAGUAAGUUACAACAGAUCUUAAUGGGUCCCAUUCAGAAGGAAUCUCAUCUCUCCCUCCCCUCCUCUCCCCCCCAUUUUUAACUGAUCAUUGCAACCAAACUCUUCAUCUGUUGGAUCCUCACCCAGAACUCAGACCCUUCACACCACACAUUUGUUUCCUGUCCCAGUAAGAAUAUACUUGCUAGUUUGAGAGUGUGGAAACAUGAGACAUUUCUGUCUUAUUUUUGUGAACAAAUUUUAUGAACUGCCUGGUAUCCUGUCCUGUGAAAAGUGCUGCCACUGGAUUUUUUUACACAGCAGGGGAUCCCCAGCUAAGAUGCAGCACCAUUAUGGCUUCUCAGCCACCCCUCAUCCUGGCUGGCCUCUAUCACCCUCUUCCCCAGGGGAGGCAUGGGUGAAAGGAAGUGGUAUGGCUACAACACUGUCAAAAGCUGGUGAUUCCCAGUUGUCAGAAGGCCUCUGAGGGGUCAUUACAGUAGGCAAAACUUAGAGCAGCCAUGAAGAUACUCAGAGUUGCUCUUCAGGUCUCACUUAGAAUGGGGUCAUAAAACUAUAAAAUGACAGAGGUAGAAGAGACCUCAAGGAUCAUCUGGUCCGACCCCCUGCAUGAAUACAGGAAUGCUAUUCUUAAACUAACAGAUCCUCAUAGGUCAUCAUAUGGUCCCAAUCCCAAAUGCAGUCCCCAGUCCAUACGGUCCCAAUCCCAGGCCUCAAAAGGUCAGUCCUAAGGAUCUGGCUUUCGAGUAUAUAUUGAACAACAUUUUAAACAUUAGAACAAAGUUUCAUUUUCUGAUACUACUGGUCUGACUGAAAAUAGCCAUGCCACCCUGUGGAUAUUUAAAUGUGUGUUGUUCUUACUACUGCAUUUUGGUUACUGUGAAGAGGCUGGUGGUGCCUCUUCAGGAGGAAAAAGGUGAUCCUGGCCGGGGUUUACCGGAGAGUUCAGUGACAGCGACGCUGAGGAGGGAACUCCCGACAUGUCUGAGACUGAAUUUACCAGAGCGUCAGGUGCAUCGUAUUUGCUCCUCCUGGUGCUCUGGGGCUACUUCCAGCAGGGAGUUUUCCCCAGGGAAGGAGAGUGGGGAGGAGAGACAACAGUGGUGCGACAGGAGCUCUGGGUGGGAGCGAAGAGGCUAUUCCCCAGGAACGGAGCUUGACACCGGGAUGGUCUGUGAGCUCGGAGGAGCUCUGGGAGUGCUGCUGCCUGUCAGUCACAGCAGCAGUGAGAGUUAAAAGCCUGAAGCUUGUGGACUGAGGAGGGAAACCUGCAUAUACAGGAAAGUUUCUUUCUUCUUUUGAGUUUUACCAGCAAUGUGGAUCAGGAGACUAUGUAGCCCCACGGGGGCAUUUUCUUAUAUUAAUGAGGACAAUUAAUGGACCCCGGGAGUGAAGCCUAUCCAGCUGAAGAGGGAUUGUGGCUUAAAGGACCCACACUUGUGGGUUGUCAGCAGCAGAAGCAUUGAGUUUGGUUUUUUGUGUUUCAUUCUCUGCUUACUAAAAAAAAGGAGGGAUUUCAUAGUUUCAUAGUAGCCAGGGUCAGGAGGGACCUGAACAAAUCAUCUAGCCUGACCCCCUGCCACAGGCAGGAAUGAAUGCUGGGUUCACGAGACCCCAGACAGGUGAUCAUCCAACCUGCUCUUGAAUUUGCCCAAGGUAGGGGCGAGGACCACUUCCCUGGGAAGUUGAUUCCAGAUUUUGGCCACCCUAACUGUAAAAUAUUGUGUCCUGAUCUCUAACCUAAACCUAUUCUCCAUCAGUUUAUGACCAUUGUUCCUCGUCACCCCAGGUGGUGCUGGGGAGAAAAGGGCUCUUCCUAUUUGCUGAUGAUCUCCCCUGAUGAGUUUGUAGGCAGCCACCAGGUCCCCCCUCAGCCUCCUCUUGCCGAGCAGCAGUUCUUUUUUUUCCUUUAUCCGGCCGAGUGAAGGAAAUCCUACAGGGCGACUGGACCCUGGGUGUCCAGCCUUGGAAAAGAAAGGAAUAAAAGACAAGAAGAUGGAUGUUUUGAUUUAUCAGACCAGGCAAACAAGUCCAGGUCUGAGUUCUGGACAGUUUAAAGACUUUUUCCCUAUGCAAGAAGUAACUAUCCAGAAGAAGAAUGAUAACUGGCCUUGAGUUAGAGAAAGUGGCCAGGCCAACCACAUGCAUACAUUCUGGAUUAUAGCUGAUACCAUGAUAACAACUGGGAGGUGUAUGGCUGGGGUGAAAGGGGAGGUUGGAGCCCCACUUGGAGGGCGCUUUGUGCCAUAACCAGACUCUUGAAGACAACAUCACCUCCCAAAAGAACAAUCCAUCAAGUUGUGGCAGGAAAGAAUUGGAGUCUGGCUAGCUGGUCAAGGCAUUCCUGGCAACCACGGACAGGUGAAUGUCAUCCAGAUGUCACAGGCUAUGCCCUUACAUGGUGAUCCCCAACAGUCACACAAUGGCAAUACUCUCCACUAUGAAAUGUAUCCCGAAGCGAAUAUAAAAUUACUUUUAUGGCUGAGAUUCUGUCUACUUGGAUUUUGCAACUUUCUGAAAAAUGACUAUAGAGUUUCAUAACUUAGGCAGGUGAUACUCGUUUAAACAUUUGAUGCAACUAAGAAGCAUUAACUCAGUGAUAUACUGCAACAGGACAAGAGGUUUACACAGCGAAUGUUGUAGCAGAAUAAAAGUAAGUUUUUUUUUAAAAAACUAUUUGGAUGAUAUCUGUGUGUGUAUGUGCUGUCUGGGCAAC